rnacentral:rRNA from 1 species
CCUACGGGUGGCAGCAGUGAGGAAUAUUGGUCAAUGGGCUUACGCCUGAACCAGCCAAGUCGCGUGAGGGAAGACUGCUCUAUGGGUUGUAACCCUCUUUUGUCAGGGAGCAACGCCGGCUAUGUGUCGCCGGACUGCGAGUUCCUGCAGAAAAAGCAUCGGCUAACUCCGUGCCAGCAGCCGCGGUAAUACGGAGGAUGCGAGCGUUAUCGGGAUUUAUUGGGUUUAAAAGGUGCGUAGGCGGAAUGCCAAGUCAGCGGUAAAAUCGCGGGGCUCACUAUCGCUCCGCCGUUGAAACUGGCAUUCUAGAGUAGGCGAGAAGUAUGCGGAAUGCGUGGUGUAGCGGUGAAAUGCGUAGAGAUCACGCAGAA